GUAGCCACUGUCAGGGUUCUCCUCCAUGAAUUUGCCUAAUCCUCUCUUAAGGCUUCCCUUUUAAGGCCCAUCACAGCCUCCUGUGACAGCUAGGUUUUAGGUAUGCAGGAGUGUGUGUUAAUUUUAUUUUGUACAGAGGAGCAAUGAAAUAGUUCAUCGCCCACAGUCUGAUGGGACAGAGCCCACGGACAGGUUUACUACCUCGUCUGUUAUUGGGGUGAACAAGGCCACACACAGCUACAUGAAAAUGUAUAUAUAUAUCCCUGUAGCACGGGGAUUAAUUAUGUCUGGGGAAGGUGUUAGUGGAAACCAGAAGAUCCUUUUUUGUAAGGAGGAUUGAUAGCUGCAAGAGAAUUGGUGUUUGAAAGCAGUUUCUGGGGUUGCAUUAGUCGAGAGGAAAUUGUCUUAGAGCUGGACAAAAUGAUAAUAAAAAGUGUCAUGGGCCCCUCCUCCUCCAUCUAUUGCUGGAAGACGUCUAGAAUUGCAGCAGACUUUCUCUGCAUCUCCUGGUAGAAGUCCCCCUCUUAAAUUUCACAGAAUUUUUACUUUCUGCUUUUACUACCAUGCUCAUACAAUCGCAGUUAGAAGGGAACUUGGGGGUCAUCUAGUCUAACCCCGCCCCCAAAGCAAGAAUCUCAAGUAGCUCAUACAUGACAGAUGGCCACCCAGCCUCUAAUUCUGUGGAUUAAACUAAUUACAGUGCCCCUGUUUUUAAACCUUCAUAGUCCUUGGUUUUAAAAGCCUUUCACUUGAGCUCAGUUAAACACAAGCCCAUCUGGAUAACACCAUCUCUCUCUCUCUUCUCUUUCUCUCUCUCUCGUUUUAAAUCUCUUGUUUUUGAUAUCCAGCCCUGAUAACGAGAGCAUUGUUUGAAAUCUUGUUUCUGUACCCUCAAACGUUUCUCCAAUGAAAACAGGGACGUCCUAAGGAAAAGCGGGGCAUUCCAGGAUCAAAUCAGAAACUGGGACGGCUUCUGUAAAUCUGGGACUGUCCCUGGGAAACAGGAAAACUUGAAGGGUCUGUGAUGGCUAUGUUCUGCUUCCAUGAUUGGAGGCAAUAAUAAUUCUGAGUACAUCUGGAAGCUGGAGGAGGGGAGAGUGUUCUUGUCCAAGUCCGCUUACCCCCUUUUAGGGGUGCGGUGGCUUUCUGGGACGGCCAGAGCCUCUCCCCCCCCCCCAAUGAUGGUGCGGGGCUGGUUGUGGGGAGCUGAUCCCAUCCAGAAUGUGAGCUUCAGCUCACGCUCCUGGCUUGUAUUCCUGCUCCGCGUCAGCCUGCUGAAUCGCCCAAUGGCAUGCUGGCAUGGAGGGACGGGCUCCCCGGGGGUGGGCAUGAGGGAACAAGCAGGCUUCCCCCAGGUUCCCUUGCUGCGAGAAGCCAAGUUACAGGGAACCAGGCAGAGGGCCUUCUUGGUAGUGGCGCCCGCCCUGUGGAAUGCCCUCCCACCAGAUGUCAAAGAGAAAAACAACUACUAGACUUUUAGAAGACAUCUGAAGGCAGCCCUGUUUAGGGAAGCUUUUAAUGUUUAAUAGACUAUUGUAUUUUAAUAUUCCGUUGGAAGCCGCCCAGAGGGGCUGGGGAAACCCAGCCAGAUGGGUGGGGUUUAAAUAAUAAAUUAUUAUUGUUAUUGUUAUUAUUAUUAACUGUUGGAAGGUUGCAGUGCCUGCCGAGGCCGUAGACACCGAUGUGGGAGAGAUAUGUUUUGUUGCAGCUGGGGCAGAAGAUGUACAAUUAAAAUAAAAUAGGUUCAUAGCCAGAGACUCUGGAUUGUACUGUAGUGCAUCCCUCUCAAGCUCAUUUUUUCAAAAUGAGAGAUCGUUGGCCUGCUGUUGACCUGUUUCCUGUGACACGGCCUGGCCUUCACUCUGUUUCCCCAACCAGUUGUUUUGUUUACAUGGGGUUAUGUGGUGUCUGCCAGGGCAGAGUCUUUUUCCGCCCUGUCCUUAAAUACAGGUAAGGACCGAUCUCUUUUUGUGCCUGAAAUUGGGAUUGCCUUGGUUUCGUUGUGGACAAGGAAGUGGAGAGGAAGCCAGCAUGAAUCAUAAGUAAUUUGCAGCCUUCAGCGGAGAUGGCCAUUUUGUUAAGAGAUUUGGCUUCAUUAAUCCCUUUCUAAUCUUCUAAAGUAAACAGAGGCACACCAUCUUCAGAGGGAGAGGAAAGCUGUAUAAAUAAAGCAAACAAUGAAGUGAUCUCCAAGCAUUUAUCAAGUCACUCUCUGUACUAUUCUUCGGUGGUGUUUGGGUGUGUGUACUCCAGGAACAAAACUACAUUUAUUUCAGGCAGGAACAAUCUACUCACUUUUAGAAACAGUCAUUUUAAUCUUUUGCAGGGAGGGACCUCCAUGUGUCCAGACAUUUGUGGUGCAGGAGUUUGGAAGCAUUUGACUGAUAUUUCCAUUUCCCCAGCAGCAAAUGUCUGAAUAACUGAACUCCACAGCCUCCCUGGGUGUUCUGCUUUUCCUGCAGUCUGGCAGAUGAGACCUCCAAAAUUCCUAAUCUGCCUGCAUCCGAUGGCAUCUUGAUGGCAUCUUGAAGCCUUAAAAGAAAAUAAUAGCUUGUUUUCUAAAACCUUCCACGUCUGGUUUCUUGGCAAUGGCUCUUACUGAACAAGAGGAGAACCUGUUCGCAAACCUGUUUUGAGCCGUGCAAUUGCCUUAUAGUAAGCCUGAGUGAACACAGCGGGGCUUCGUUCCAAAUAAAUAUGCACGGCGUUGCGCAAUUGGUGUGUUGCAGAGCGAGCCCUAAAUGGCUUGAGCAGGUUGGAUGCCAAUGCAUGGCAAAGUAGGGCAGCUGCUGAAGACCCACAUCCCAGCAGGGAAUCCGAUGAUGAGAGACCCCUGGACCUGCUCUUCCUCUUUACCAUUGUC